GCCUCUGUAGCUCAGUUAGUUAGAGCGCCGCACCGGAAAUGCAGGGACACAGGUUCAAUUCCUGCCAGAGGGC